rnacentral:lncRNA from 1 species
GUAAAAACAGAGGAAAUUGUGCGCUUUGGAAUUCUCAAGGACUUGUAUGGUGAGCCUUAGAUCUUUGCGUUUGUAACAAGAGCACAGGCACAUAGACAUUUAUCUGUUCAGUUGCUUUGAUUUGUCCAGGCCUCUGCUUUGCUAGGGAGAAUGAAGCACACCAAAAUGGACGGAGACUAUUGACUGUGAAAGACCAUUGCUCGAUUCUGAGGCUAACAAAAGCCCAAAUUCCCUGAAGCUCAAAAGUCAUAUUGAUGUUUGUUCUUAAAGGUCAUAGAAUCCCAGCUGUUCAAAGGGAGCGUGGGACCAAAAUUCAAAGGAUCAAGUGGGAAUAAAUAAAAGGUAUGAGUGCAUGUCGCAUGAAUAAAGUAAGGUCCAGACAACCAGAAAGAAGGCGUCAGCUCUUUACUUUCUUCAUGGGCAGUGGGGCAGUCGAGCAAGGCUCUAGGAGUUGAGAGACCUUGGAAGACAUCACCCCUAACCAUUGAUGUAACACUAAAGCAGUUAUGUAUCUUUUCAUGGAAUGCUCCAUCAACGUGUCAGUCAAUCUUCUCAGUGUCCUUCCAAUUUUAGCAGGUGUGCAGCUUAAACAAAGGUUGAAAGAGUUAUUAAUCUUUGGGGUUACCUUUUACUUUCUUUCAAUAUCCCUGGUAUUGCCCUGCCUCGCAAAAAAGCUAGAUUCCUGCUUUGGUUUCAUUUUGUUUGUUUGCUUGUUUGCUUUGGGAAUAUACUGCUCCAUGUAUCAAAGUUACUGACUCCCUGGCCUCAUUUGCUGUGGUAAUCUGUUAUCUGCUAACAUUUUCUUGUUGCUCUGUGUGACAUGGCAAUGAUGUGCCAGCCAAUAUUCCUGAUUCUUUCUGUGAUCCUUAUUUUCCAGAGAAUUUUUGAAAACGCCAAAUCACAAUACCCAAGGAUGACAAUUCUUUGUUGUUUUUGUCCCCACUCUGGAAUAAAAACGUGAUAAGUAAAGGGGUGUUUUCUUAUUUUACUCAGUGUGUCUGGAGUAUCUAGAACAUAGUAGACACUCAAAAAUAUCUGGUGAUAACUUUAAAUACUUGAUUAAUUAUCAUGGAAUUUCCUAGAAAUUGGAAGAAAGAGAGACGACAUCCUACUCGUGUGCUAUAAUAACAUUCCAGCUGAUGUGAGAGGGCCAAAGGGAGCUUUAAUUCUAGGUCAAGUUGUUGGAAUUUUAUGACACUAAAGCUAUAUAAAUAUGAGAAGAUGUCAGGCAGAUCAAACUGAAGUGCAGUGGAGAACAGAGCAUUAGGCUGCUACGAAGGAAAAAACAGUUAGGUGAAUCAAACAGAAGCUUGGGGAUACUGUGUGUCCACUGCUUUUUGAGUGGAAAAACUUGACAUUGGUUUGUUCUACACUCAUUACUAGAUUGUACCAGCAACUAAGAGAGCAUGUCUGAAAUGAACCGUUAAAUGUAGUCCUCUGCAGAUUUAACACAAAUUAUAUCACUUUGAAAAGUGCUCUGACAUAACUUAGAGUUAAACAUUUGCUUCAAGUGCAGAUGCUUAUGGUAAUAAUUGACAACCUGUGCUUAGUUUAGCUGGGUGAGGUUGCUAUAUUAACUCAGGACAUCAUUGAGUUCCUG